rnacentral:tRNA from 1 species
GGGGUUGUGGCUCAAUGGUAGAGCACUUGCCUAGCAUAUGUAAGAUACUAGGUUCAAUUCUCAGCACCA